GGAGUUUGCUGGGAGAGCUAAGCCUUAAUGUCUGGAUGAUGAUGUUCUCGGCCAUGGAGUUUCUGUCCGAAUCCAAAAUUGUUGAGCCGAUCUAUCUGGAGUUCAAUCCCCCAUUAUGCAUGCUAAGGAAAUUCUUCUUUAGCUAAUGUGGCAGUAGUGACAUUGGAGCUCAAUCCUUCAAUAUGCCAUGCUAAGGAAUUACAAUUUCCCUAUUUCCACUUUACCUGGCCAGUGAUUCAGUUUGAGCAUUCACCCAAAUGCACCGUCUGCUUUCUUGAAUCAAUGGCUUGAAAUGCUUCUGUUCGAUUAUAAAAGACAAAGAAGUUACUAAAAAGUAAUUGCCUUCAGUGGAUAUUUUGUGAGUAAUUUACUUUUCUUUUUCUAUGUAAUUCUACUAUUUAAGUACUUUGAUAAUCCUGUUGAAUUUGUGGCAGUUACUAUUGCUACUCUUGGGAAGAAGACUACAGUUGUUUCCAGAAGUACUUAUUGGAGCUGGAGUUCCUUGCUGCAGGUCAUAUAAGCUUUUGAAUGUCUUAGAGUUCAAUAGCUCCCGAAAGCGGAUGUUUGUGACAGUAAGAAGUGAGGAAGGCCAGUUGUUGCUACUUUGCAAAGGCGCCGACAGUGUCAUGUUUGAAAGAUGAGAAGUUACAGUUCCUAGCUUAGAAUCCAUCGAAGAAAUGAGGAUGCCUUCAUUCGAUAAUCUGGUGAUGACAAUGAGAUCAACAAAGAGAUCUUCGAAAGGGGGGAAUGUGGAACUCAAGUAGCAGCAGAAGGCAUGUUUACUGUCGCCUGCAUCUCCUCUCACCGCCAUCAAUUGAUUGAAAGGAAGUACAAGCAGAUGUAUGAUAUCAAAUGGCACUAAAAACAAUAAUGAAUUCAAGCAGUGACUGACAGCAAAAUGUAUGAUCAUUGGAUAGAUCUUAGAUCUCCU